GACGAACGCUGGCGGCGCGCUUAACACAUGCAAGUCGAGCGAGAACCUGGGCUUCGGCCCUGGGGACAGCGGCGAACGGGUGAGUAUCACGUGGGUAAUCUGCCCUCGGCAUCGGGAUAGCCCGGGGAAACCCGGAUUAAUACCGAAUAGCCUCCGGAGCCUUCGGGCGCCGGAGAAAAGGUAGCUUCGGCCUCUGGCCGAGGAUGAGCCCGCGGCGGAUUAGCUUGUUGGCGGGGUAACGGCCCACCAAGGCGACGAUCCGUAGCUGGUCUGAGAGGACGAUCAGCCACACUGGGACUGAGACACGGCCCAGACUCCUACGGGAGGCAGCAGUGGGGAAUCUUGCGCUAAUGCGGGAAACCGUGACGCAGCGACGCCGCGUGGGGGAAGAAGGCCUUCGGGUUGUAAACCUCUUUCAGGAGGGACGAAGCUACUCGGGUUAAUAGCCCAGAGGGUGACGGUACCUCCAGAAGAAGCCCCGGCUAACUACGUGCCAGCCGCCGCCGUAA
rnacentral:rRNA from 1 species